UACGGAGGGUGCGAGCGUUGUCCGGAUUUAUUGGGUUUAAAGGGUGCGUAGGUGGCCUUAUAAGUCAGUGGUGAAAUACGGUUGCUCAACAAUCGAGGUGCCAUCGAUACUGUGAGGCUUGAAAUAAUUGGAGGCUGCCGGAAUGGAUGGUGUAGCGGUGAAAUGCAUAGAUAUCAUCCAGAACACCGAUUGCGAAGGCAGGUGGCUACGAUUGGUUUGACACUGAGGCACGAAAGCAUGGGGAGCAAACAGG
rnacentral:rRNA from 1 species